AAAGUACUCCCUCCGUCCCAAAAUUCUUGUCUUAGAUUUGUCUAGAUACGGAUGUAUCAAGUCACAUUUUAGUAUUAGAUACAUCUGUAUCUAGACAAAUCUAAGACAAGAAAUUUGGGACAG
rnacentral:pre_miRNA from 1 species